AAAGAGAAAGAAUAUUUAUUUAAAAAUGACAAACAAUCUUAUCGUAAUAAUUCACAAUUUGCGAAUGAUUCGAGAGAAAAUUGACAUCGAAAAAUAGAGGUUAAAUUAAUCAACGAUUUAUAUAAUUCAAAAGAACAAUUCUCUAAUAACAAAGUUAACAACUUCAACAAAUUUUGACAACAUCAAUCAAAAGAGAUGACAAGACCUACGUAGUACUAACCUCGAAAAUAGGAUUAAAUCUUUGAAGUUGUUGGCGCUUCUCCAUCGGUCGUCGAGCAUGGUUAUGGCUUUUGACAAGAAGAAGAAGAAGAAGAAUAAGAAGAAAAAGAAGAAGAAGAAGAAGAAGUAGAAGGGACGAAAGAAAAAGAAGGGCUCCUUUGGAGAGGGAGAAAAUGGCGGGUCCUUCCCUAUCUAUCUUUUUCCUUUUACACUCUUUUUUUCCUAGCAAAUUUUUCGUAUUCGUGGCA